GUGUUUGCAAAGUCACAACAUGCUAUUGGGAGUGAUGAUGAAGAGGAUUGUGUGGCUGAAACAGAAGCAUGGUCCAGUGCUGCAGGGAGGUCAACAUGGAAGCAGUGUAAUGGCAAGGGGGUAAGGUGCUGUCUGUUAUCAUAGCUGAAUCUGGCAGCUGAAGACGCCAGGAUAUGAAUCAUUUCUUCAUAGACAUUCAUGCCAUUGACAGUGACAACACUGAGAGAGUUCACAAGACUUGCUGUCUUUUCUGUCUCAGGGAGAAAAAGGACCUCUAGGAGUAGUUCAAAGCCUCCAAGUCCCCAGGCAUGCUCCACUGAGC